GGCUGCGGCGCCGGCUGGAGCGGGAGGAGGCGGCACCCGGGGGCGGUUCCGACAGCAGCCCGACCGCGGCCGCUCCCACCAUGCAGGCGCUGGAGGACCUGGAGGCAGGGCUGCGGCGGAUCGCGGCGCCCGAGGGCAGCUGCAUCGUCCACAGGAUGGUGUGCUCGGAGCAGCCGCCCCUGGACAUGUGCCAGGGUAUCUCAGCCGGAGAGUGCACCGAGAGAAGAGCAGGAUCGGCAGCAGGGCUCAUGAUAGCGAUUCUCCUUCCCAUCAGCAUCACCAUAUUCGGGAUAAUCGUUU